rnacentral:rRNA from 1 species
AUUCUUAUACAUCUUUCAAGAAACAUUGAAUGCACCAGUUCUUCUCCAUAUCGCUGUAGUUAAGCAAUGUCAAGUCAAGUUAAUACUUAGAUAUGUGGCCACUUGGGAAACCUAGGUGUUUUAAGCAUU